rnacentral:tRNA from 1 species
GCGCAGGUGGGUGGAAUUGGUAGACGCUCUGGCUUCAGGUGCCUUCGCGGCCGUGAAGGUUCGAGUCCUUUCCGGGGCG